rnacentral:lncRNA from 7 species
GAGGAAUUGUGGGGGGAAUCUCUUUAAGGAGAAAGAAGUGGUGGUGAUCAAAUACCUGCUGUCAGAUGGUGAGAAUAACACAGCAAGUGUACAACCUGUAAUUCAGAUACAAAAACCUCACUUCAAAUUUUCUGCACAGAGCUGAACAGGUCAAGCGUUUCUCACUUGAGAUUCUUCUCUGUAGCUUCAGUUAAGACCUCAGAAACCUACCCUAACUAAAUUCAUUUGUAUGGCACUUACCUUGGACAUCCUCCAGCAACCAGAGAAAGCAGCUCUUCAAAAUGUGUGGAGGAAGCCACCAGAUCAUGGAAGGAAAUGGAUUUUCAGAUGUUGCUAAGUGACAUCUAAGAGUGUCUCUCUUGGUGAAGAACAGAGGUGCCCUGGGAAACCAGUCCGACUGGGAGAAUGGAAAUUUUCCAGAUGUGUUAGAUUUCCUUUUGUAAGCUGGAGUCUGGUGAGUUUAGCACCCAAAUCUGCAAGCCUUCCAGCUGAAAUCCAAAUUAUCUCGGUAUUGGAUAGGUGCUCUGCAAAAACUUGGAAGGAGGAAUACGUAAGAUCAGUAAGGACAAGAACACAGUGGUGGACAGCCCAAAGUGGCCUUUUGUAGGUACUUCUCAAGGUACUUUAUUACACAGCUGUUAUUGUUGCAGUAAUGAGAAUAUUCCCAGUGUUAAGGAGCCUUUCCUUAUGGCAAAACAGAAGAGCCUCAUUUCUUCAUCUUUUUGACUGUAAAUGCAAGGCAAAAUUCAGUGGUCUGCUGAGCCUCAGCUAGAAUUCUUAGUGGGAACUGUACUACUGGAGCACAUACAGAGGCAGCACCAGACAGAUCGUCUCCCAAGUCUAUCUGGGUUGAACUUGGAUAACUCAGGAGGACAAAAAGAGAUCCAUAACAACCUGGUAAUGCUGCACCAGCUUUGCUCUCUGAAAUUCUGGAAGUCCUUACACAAACAAAAUUGAAGUACAGUGCGUUGUACAAAUAAGACUGAAACACAGUGAAGCAGAUUUCAAUAAGGAAGAGUAUGCAGCAGGGGCUGUGCCUGGAGCAGGACUCCCCCGGCCCUACACAGCACACAUUAUUAACAACCCAGAGAGCACAGCCAAGCCAUCUCACUUAAUGAAAGUCUGAUGCCAUGGAAGGACUGUGUGUACAACAGUGCAGCGAGGGACACUGCUGAAAGCGUUGUUUGUACAAAGACUUGCUCUUCCUGCCUCUCCCUUCUCCAUAUUUCGUGGUAACCAGGGGU